UUGCUUCCGUGCCCGUUCUCCGACCCCUAGACGGCACUCUCUCUCUCUCCUAUCUCACCUCAGACACUAUCGCACACACUAGCACACACCCACUCACACACAGGAGAGAAAUAGAGAGUGGGAGAGCUCAUACGUAAAAAUAUCUUCUCCAUUCACUGCCACUAAUCUCUAUUACUCUCUUUCCCUGUCGCCUUCACAACCCUAACUGACCAAUGCCGCUGCUGCAGUCAUCCGCCGACCUCCGCCUCGUCGACCCGCGGAUUUGGCGGGCUUGCGCCGGCUCAUCGGUCCAAAUCCCCAUAGUCAAUUCUAGGGUUUACUAUUUUCCUCAAGGACACCUCGAGCAAUCUUCCUCUUCUGCUUCUCCUUCUUUCCUCUCCGCUCUCGCUCGCUCUAAACCAUUAAUCGCUUGUCAAGUCUCUGGCGUUCAAUUUCUGGCUGAUCCUGUCACCGAUGAGGUCUAUACGAAACUAUUUCUUUUUCCGAUUGAUCCUUCGUUUAACCAUUCUCUCCCUCUUGUGGAACCUGCUGGACACCAAGGUGGAGAUGAUAAUGAGGACAAGAUUGUGGCGUUUGCUAAGAUUUUGACGCCAUCUGAUGCCAAUAAUGGUGGCGGUUUCUCUGUUCCGAGGUUUUGUGCGGACUCUAUCUUCCCGCCUUUGAACUACCAAGCGGAGCCGCCUGUCCAAACCCUUACAGUCACCGAUAUUCAUGGCAUUACUUGGGAUUUUAGGCACAUUUAUCGAGGGACGCCACGUAGGCACUUGUUGACCACCGGCUGGAGCAAAUUCGUGAACCACAAGAAGUUGAUCGCUGGUGAUUCGGUGGUUUUCAUGAGGAAUUUGGCGGGAGAGAUGUUUAUUGGAGUGCGCAGGGCUGUAAGAUUCAAUAAUGGUGGAGAUUGUGCUAGGUGGCGGGAGCAGAUUGGUCGUGGAACUGGAGAUGUGAAAAUGAAGGUGAAGGAGGAGGGAUUCUCAAGGAGCGGGAGAGGUAGAGUGUCACCGGAGGCUGUCAUGGAGGCAGUGGAGAGAGCAGCGCAAGGUUUGCCAUUCGAGGUGGUGUAUUAUCCGAGGGCUGGAUGGUAUUCGGAUUUCGUGGUGAGGGCUGAGGUGGUGGAGGGGGCGCUCAAUGUGUUUUGGACAGCUGGGAUGCGAGUGAAGAUGGCAAUGGAGACGGAGGACUCGUCCAGGAUGACUUGGUUUCAGGGAACAAUUGCAUCUGCGGCUGCAGCAGAUUGUGGGCCAUGGCGAGGCUCUCCUUGGCGCAUGCUUCAGAUUACUUGGGAUGAACCUGAAGUUCUGCAGAAUGCGAAGAAAGUGAGCCCUUGGCAAGUUGAAUUUAUCGCACCCACACCACCACUUCAUGCUGCAUUUCCGCCCGCAAAGAAAUUCAGAUAUCCUGAGAAUUCUGGGUUGCUGAUUGAUGGAGAGGGAGAACUCUUCUUUCCUAUGUCAGGACUAACUAAUUCAACAAUGGAGAAUAUGAACCAUUCAUUGUUGAAUUACAACACUUUUCCUGCUGGCAUGCAGGGAGCCAGGCAAGAUCCUUUUUCCGCAUUUGGUUUAUCCAACUUCUUAAGUGAGAAUGCGUCCCAAAUGAGCACUGAUAAUGCCUUUGGCAACAAGAUGGUGCCAAAAUUGCAAACUGUGUCUACUGAGUUGAACAUCGGCAGUUCACAUUCUGACAACUUAUCACCAGAUAGUCAGAGCAGCAUGCAUUCUUUUGGCACAGAACUUGUUGGGAAUCAGUGCUCUAACUCUUCAAAAGUUGGAAUUAGUUCAUUUCAGUUAUUUGGUAAGAUCAUUCGCAUGAACCAGCCUGUUGAAAGUGGUUUUGAUGAUGUUAGCUACAUCGACGAUUAUGGCAAUAAGGGGUACAAUGAAAACAAUUCUCUAGACCUUGGAUUAACAUCUUCUUAUACAGAAUUGCUCAACAGGAUUGAUGUUCAAUGCCAAAGAGCUUCAGCUGUUGAAGCUUGCUCUUUAUGAACAAGUAGUUGUACAAUGUCUUGCAGAUAUGUAGCUGUACAGUAGUAGAAACAUGGUGCUGUGCUGGACUUCCUUCAAAUCACUUUAAGUUUCAGUCAGUAUUAUAAGCAGGCAGGAAGCUGAAGCUGACUUAUUAGAUCCUGGCAGUAGUAACCAGUGUGUGUUUGUUUUAGUUAGUGUUGUUGAAACUCAGACGAUCAGACGAUGAUAACAUGUGUUUAAAUCAAGUAUGAAACAUUUGUGUGGCACGUCAUAUUUUUUUUUUUUGUUGUUGAUGUAAUAUAAUUCCAUUUCUUUUCAAAGAAAAUGGAGAAACUAGGGUUUCCCUGAUGACUUGACAUCGGAAAGAGGGAAAUACUUUAAUUUUCUGGUGAUGGGAAAAUUAUGCAGUGGUUAUAUUGGAAUGUGGGAACAGCUUAUAUUUUUUCUUGGGCUAAUAAUAAAUAUAUUGUUAACUUGA